rnacentral:lncRNA from 1 species
CUAGUUGCUUGGAAGCUUUUCUCCUAAUUCUCCAACUCGUAUGAACCUUUCCCAAUGACAGCUGAAACCUGAUAGGGUCCUUCCCAGGUUGGACCUAACUUCCAAGUGUUAAGUUUCAGGGUAUUUUUAGUUAUUUCCUUAGAUCCAUUGAAUUGGGUUCAGUUGAAACUCCUUGAUUUCAUUAUUGCAUGGUAAAAAUGCUUUCAUCCCAACGGUCAAAAACCACCUCCACAACACCCAAAUCCCCCCCCCCAAGACCCAGAUCCAGCCCCAGCCCCAGCCGGCGAC